CUUCAGCCUCACUUCUCCAUGAUCCAAGCUCCUAUGAUUUACUAGUUCCUUCUUGCUCUUUACCAACUCUAGGUAUUCUGGGCAAUUUCUCUUCCAAUGCUCAUCCUUUUGACAGUGGAAACACUUUCCCUUGCCUUUGUCAGCUUCGGUCUUGCCCUUUGUUUGGCUAUCUUCUUUGAAGGUCCAGAAACUUGAGGUUUCUUUUUCUUAUU
rnacentral:misc_RNA from 1 species